AGGAGGAGGAGGAGGAGGAGGACGACAACGACGACGCAGCCUCCCUGCUGCUGCCCGCAGCCCUUCCCCGGCGGCCCCGGAUCAUCCGACGCGUCCUGGGAGAGAGAGAGAAAGUGGCAGAAGAGGAGGAGGAGGACUUGCAGGCGGCACAAGACAACCCGUUUCGUCUGCCCCGCACACCCAACUGUGCAGGGGGAAAGAAAGGAGGGUCUUCCGUCCGGCAUUUUGGGGGGCAAGCGAGAAACAAGGAGGCACCGUUUUCAGAGAGCCUGCGGCAUGAGAAGGAUGGGAGGCUGGAAUCGGGAGCCCCGUGGCAAGUUGCACAGGGAAGAGUAGGCCUUUUCCGGGGGCGAUGUGCAGUACAGAGUUGGUGCAGCGAGGAGGGUUGUUGCGCGCGUGUAAACAAAGGUCAGGCGUGCUCAGGUCACUGAACAGCCAUGCAUCACUGAUGUCAUUACCAAAAAAAGAGGGGGGAUGUAAUAAUCAGGUCCUCACCAAAAUGCCAGGCCUGAUAGUUGUAGCUGCCUCUGUUCUAUAGAACAGGGUAAAAACCAUCCAGUAAAAGUGUACAAGGUGGUAAAAUGUUCACAAAAAAUGAGCAUAGGAUAGACCAUUUCUUCCCCAUAAUGCACUGGAAGAAGGACUGAGCAAACUGAAUGGACUUGAAAGCAACAAGUUUGCCCAAGCUAAGAGAUGAGAGAAAAACCCCUUUAUUGACAAAAUGCAUACGUGUGGACACACUGUAUUAUAAGGACUUCCUAAGAAGAAAGAGGCUAAGUGACAGGAGUCAAACUCAUGUACCCAAAAUAAUUCCAAGUGAGAACAUGAAGAAAAUGUCACCAGGAACUGUAAUACAAAACUAGAACAAGUUUUCAAGUAGGUAACAGGGAGAGAAUAAUCAUGUACAAUACACAAAGCCCGCUAUGACCUCUAAACACAAAAAGUAAACCAAUACGUGCUUCGAUGAGUAAGCGUAUCAUCAUGUAUGUAUUACAAUAACAAAAAGCAGUGUAUUAAAAUUAGGUAAAGAAACACGAGCUGACAUCUACUGAAAUAAACACAAACAUCAUGCAGGGCCUGCAAAAAGAAGAAAAUGGUAAUAGGGUGAAAUGCAUAAAAUAUUUAUCAUAUUCAGCAAUGCACAAAAUAGAUUAUGAUCUCAGAAGCAAAGCUUGAAAAUGGAUAUAAUGUUUUAAAAUACUGUUAUUCUAAGAAGUGUAAGUGAAGGUAGAAUACAGUGGAAACACUAAAAGCUGUAUAUCUGUGCUGCAAAAGAUUAGUAAAAUUGUUACUGAAAGGGUGUAUGCUUUACAAAGAAAAA